GAGCCUGAAUCGAGAAGUAUGUGACGUAACAUAAGGACAGGAAGUUUUUCUGAAGUGUGACUUUUGCUAUAAUUUCUACUUUAUUUACUACGGCUCUGCAUCAAAAUGCCUGAUAGAUGUGCAGUUUUCGGCUGUUCAAACCGAGCAAAUUCUGCGGAAAGAAUUUCUCUUCACCGUAUACCAUUUCACGGUGAUGAGCGUCCUGAAGCGAAGCGAAGACGUAAAAUCUGGGUGAAUUUUGUUGCAAGAAAACGCGCUCGAUGGACACCGACUAAGUAUUCGGCUGUUUAUUAUUGUGAUGGCAAAGUAAUUUGGGCAAAGUUCAAAUCUUUCCUGAGUCACAUAGUAGACAAGCACACCAAUUUGGAUAAUCCACUGUUUUCAAGUUGUUUUCAUGGCCCUGAUAUUAAACCAAGGGAAUAUUUGUUAGAAGACACAUUUUGGCAUCCAUCCACUUCAACAACAACUUAAGGCGUGAUGUAAAGAUGAAGAAUGAUGGCACUUUCCAAAUAAAUGUAGUGUAUCCAAAGUUUAAAAAUGGUGAAGGAACUGUGAGGGAUGUCAGAGUUAAGUCCAAAUUUGAGUAUGUGGAUGAAUUAUUUGAGAGUGUGAUGCUGUCAAUAAAAGACAAAGACGCAUUAUCAAAUUCACAAAAUCUUUUGAAAGAAAUGUCCCCACCAUCAAUGAAUGUCAUGCUGCAAAAGCAACCCAGAGCUGAGGUGUUACUAAAACAGGUCCGUUGAAAAUGCAUUGUGGUCAAUGAUGUCCCUCCCUCAAUUCCAGCAGCUACCAGUGUGCCAUUCAGCUGUCAGUCAAAAGUGGCAGUUUCAAAAGAAAAAAGUCAGCCAAAAUGUUUGACAUGCAAGAAGCCAAUGAAAGGUCACAAACAUGUGGCAGAUUGCCCAAAAAAUAGGAAAACUUAAUUUUCACAUCACUCAUUUAUUUCAUUUUCUUCGUACCCUCUAAAUUCCAACUUUUUAUCAUUAAAUUUUGAUCUUAUUGCAUGGUAUGCACAUGCUGGUAAUGGUCUUCUUUCUUCUCCUAAGCAUCCAUAAAUCAUAGAUGUGAAUUCUCUGUAUGCAACACAUCGUAAAACCUGAAUAUAAAGCCAAAUCAUUACUAAUGUGUCAUAACACUAAAAUAUACUUAAAUACUGGGAAAUAACAUAAUAUGCUAUCAUA